rnacentral:rRNA from 1 species
CUAAGUUUGAUGGCGACCGACGCACGGGUGAGUAACACGUAUCCAACCUGCCGAUGACUCGGGGAUAGCCUUUCGAAAGAAAGAUUAAUACCCGAUGGCAUAGUUCUUCCGCAUGGUGGAACUAUUAAAGAAUUUCGGUCAUCGAUGGGGAUGCGUUCCAUUAGGUUGUUGGCGGGGUAACGGCCCACCAAGCCUUCGAUGGAUAGGGGUUCUGAGAGGAAGGUCCCCCACAUUGGAACUGAGACACGGUCCAAACUCCUACGGGAGGCAGCAUG